rnacentral:rRNA from 1 species
GACGAACGCUGGCGGCGUGCUUAACACAUGCAAGUCGAACGGAAAGGCCCUGCUUUUGUGGGGUGCUCGAGUGGCGAACGGGUGAGUAACACGUGAGUAACCUGCCCUUGACUUUGGGAUAACUUCAGGAAACUGGGGCUAAUACCGGAUAGGAGCUCCUGCUGCAUGGUGGGGGUUGGAAAGUUUCGGCGGUUGGGGAUGGACUCGCGGCUUAGCAGCUUGUUGGUGGGGUAGUGGCUUACCAAGGCUUUGACGGGUAGCCGGUCUGAGAGGGUGACCGGCCACAUUGGGACUGAGAUACGGCCCAGACUCCUACGGGAGGCAGCAGUGGGGAAUAUUGCACAAUGGGCGGAAGCCUGAUGCAGCAACGCCGCGUGCGGGAUGACGGCCUUCGGGUUGUAAACCGCUUUCGCCUGUGACGAAGCGUGAGUGACGGUAAUGGGUAAAGAAGCACCGGCUAACUACGUG